UAACCUUUAACAAUAUCCAAAUGGACAAAUAAAAAAAAUAGUCUGUGGAAAGAAACAGGUGUGCUGUAUAAAGCGCUCCAAGUGCUUAGGGGUGCUUUUCUGAAUCACACCCAGCUCGGACGUGAGCAUGUCCUGAGGCAUGAUGGGCAUGUCUUCAGCUCCAGGAAAACACCUGAACACAAACAGGGAGCACUCCAGGACGCUCCUGAAGCAGCAGUGCUAACCACUGUGCCGUACGUCCAACUGUUAUAUUCAAAUCUACAGGUUAAAGGCAUAAACUAGCAUUUUGCGCUGGUGUUCAUAAAGCUCUUCUCUGCAUGACAAGUAUUAUGAUUUCCAACUGUGCUGUAUGACCUAACAUAACCUCAUCUUUCUCUAGCUCAGUGGUUCUUAAAGUGUGUGGCGAGACUUCUCACAGGUGGGGCACAAGUUAACUGGCAGAAAAGUCAUGUGGAACUAA